GAGAGCCGUGUGUCAGGGAAACCGACCAGCACGGUUCGGGAAGAGGCCGACGGAAAAGGACCCACACCAUGGGCACCUCGCCGGCGGCCCACUUCAC
rnacentral:ncRNA from 1 species